UGUCUCUUUGUUGGCUUAUUUUAGGGUUUGGUUACUCACACCAACACAUCAUCGCCUUUCUGUUUGUGCUCUGCUCACACCGUCAACUACUAUGUUCACACCGUCGGUUGCUCUGCUACUUCCUCACUGCUCUCCUCACACACACACGGCCGUCGGCUGCUGCUCCCCCACACACGGCAAUCGCCUCUCUCCCUCUCCCUCACUGCUUGCUCGCUCGCUCCUCCCUCACUACCGAUUUUCAAAGGAGGAAUGUUCGGGGUCGGGAAAACCCGAUCCCGGCUAGAGGGCAGGGGUGGGGACGGUGAUAGGUUCCCAUCAGGGAUUGAUGCGGAGGACGGGAGGAUUUCCACCAUCGAGAAUCAGGGAUGGUGAGUGUGAUCCCAGCCUUGCCCCAGCCCGUUGCUAUUCCUAAUCGCAGUGCACCUAUUAUGUGAAUUGGCACUGAACCCACCAUUCAAACAACUAAACCAAACUGGACAGUUUGAUAUGAAUCAAAUUGUAAUUUUUUUAGUCUUUUUCCGCAACCCAAUUUCAGUUGGGAAAAAAUGAAAAGAUUUGUUUAAACUACAAGCAAAAACAUAAUUAGUUGAGUGAAAUUAUAUUCGGUUAAAAUUAAGUUUUUGCUUAACAUAAUUUUUGGCACACCUGGUGGAUCUAUUCCCUAUCUAAAAUCAUUGAUAAUUGUGAAGAUUUUUAUUUGCCUUUUUCUUUUUCUU